CUUUGGGUCUUCUCUGAAAACAGAUAACUAAGAAUUGAAUUUACAACUUGCUAUUCUCUUAGCUUCCUUCAAGUUCCAGCAUGUCUGGCCAGUUUUUUCAGCCACUCUUGCAAGGAGUUUCCUGUUCUAAAAAACAGGAUGACAGUUUCUGCAGGUGACAAAGAUCACAGGUAACGAAUGGAAGAACAUGACUGAUGACCAAAAAGCACCCUAUGAAGCAAUUGCAGCAAAGAACAAGUAACAGUAUGUUCAAGAAAUGGAGGUUUACAGAAAGAUGAGGAGGAGGAAGCUGCCAGCCACAAGAAAGAAGAGGAGGAGAUGAUCAAGCUCAAUAAGCAGGAAGCUAUGCAAUUGCUAAAGAAGAUAGAGAAGACAGAAAAUAUCAUUAAGAAAAAAGAGAAUCAAAGAAAGAAACAGAAGGAAGAGAAGAAUGUAGAUCCCAACAGGCCAAAGAAGCAGGCUUCCUCAUUCCUUCUGUUCAGCAAAGAGGAAAGGAAGAAGAUAGUGGAAGAGAAGCCUGGAACUAACAAUACAACAGUUAAUGCUCUCAUUUCUCUCAAAUGGAAGGUAUAAAAUGAUUUGAACUCUCUGAAAGAUGCACGGGAAGAUAUAUUAUAAUUAACCGUCUCAUUGCAUGUAUUAAAUGAUAUAAUUUAAGUAACAUACAAUUCAUAAUUUACAUUUCCACUAUAAAUGUCCCAAAAAUUAGCAAAAAUACUACCAAAAAUAAAUUCAAAUGAAAGGUUGUUGAUAUUAAAAAAAAAAAAACCAAUCAAUAAUUAUAGUUCAAAGUAUAUAUAUCAUAUUUUAUGUUUAGAAUAAUUUUAUUCAGAUCUCUUGAAUAUUUAAAAAUUAGCGCAUCUAUAUAUUUUUUUUCAGACAUUAGUAACAACAUGUCUCUAAUAACGGUGGAUCAUAUCAUAUUGUGCAGUCCGUAUUUGUAGCUCUUUUGAUGCUACUCAGUUGUGUCCGUAUUUGUAGCUCUUUUGAUGCUACUCAGUUGUUUUUCAAUCACUCUUGCAAGGAGUUCCGUGAACUGACAAACAGGUUAGUUUUCCUAUUUUUGCAGCUUAAAUGCUAAUAUUUCAAUCACUGGAUUGUUCUUCCUUUCUCCAGCUAAAUGACUUACUCCUCUCUUUUUUGCUUAGCUAUCACAGUAAUUGUACACCGUUAAUGUGUAUUGAUUUUGUUUCAAGGUUGUCUGGUGGUAACCUGGCUUCUAAUAUUCCUCCUAAUGAUGUCUUGGUUACUUCUAUUGAAGAUAUCUACUUAAAAAAGCAGGUACUAAUUAUGUCUACACUUAAUGUUUAUGUUUACUAGGUGUAUACUUUCACAUACUGUUUUGAUAUACUUUUAAUUGUGUCAUGUUAUCUAAAAGCAAUCAAAUGUGAUAUCUAAAAGCAAUCAAAUAUCUAAUAUUACCAACAAGAACAUGUAGCAUCUAUUUAAAAGCAAUAAAUAUAUUCUAAAUUUUAUUUUUACCUAUCAAUCUGUACUAAUUUUUUUUAAUUCCAAUUAACAGCUAGGAGAGUAUCGGGUAGCAGGUUGCAUUGUUGAUGUGGAAAGUGUGGCUGAUUGAUAUUACAUCUCUUGCAAGUCUAAUUCUUGCAAGAGAAAGGUGACCGAGUGUGGUGGAAUGCUGUUUUGUAUGUAUAUAGAUCACUAUAUAUGUAUUUGUGUUUGAAAAAAAACAUAUAAAAUUUAAUCAUUUUGUUGAUCAAUAUUUUCUUCAAAUGUAUUUGUAAUGCAAAA